rnacentral:rRNA from 1 species
GAUGAACGCUGGCGGCGUGCCUAAUACAUGCAAGUCGAGCGAACGGACGAGAAGCUUGCUUCUCUGAUGUUAGCGGCGGACGGGUGAGUAACACGUGGAUAACCUACCUAUAAGACUGGGAUAAUUUCGGGAAACCGGAGCUAAUACCGGAUAAUAUUUUGAACCGCAUGGUUCAAAAGUGAAAGACGGUCUUGCUGUCACUUAUAGAUGGAUCCGCGCUGCAUUAGCUAGUUGGUAAGGUAACGGCUUACCAAGGCAACGAUGCAUAGCCGACCUGAGAGGGUGAUCGGCCACACUGGAACUGAGACACGGUCCAGACUCCUACGGGAGGCAGCAGUAGGGAAUCUUCCGCAAUGGGCGAAAGCCUGACGGAACAACGCCGCGUGAGUGAUGAAGGUCUUCGGAUCGUAAAACUCUGUUAUUAGGGAAGAACAUAUGUGUAAGUAACUGUGCACAUCUUGACGGUACCUAAUCAGAAAGCCACGGCUAACUACGUG